UCCCCAUCUGUAGAUAUCAAAGGACCUUAAAAAGCAGGUCCAGAAGGAGCUGURCACCACUGCAGGACCUGCAAAUCUCUUGACAUUGAGGAGAAAUACAAGAGAAAUACAGCUUUCACGYGGCUUAGUUCCCACAUCCCUCCAGCCAGAAGAAACCCACCAUGUCUA